CCUCCAAUUUUCUUUUUCUCUCUCCAUACCGACGAUCCUUCUUCUUCUCCUUCCCCAAUUUUUUUCAGAUCAUCCUUCGGCCGAGUUCCACUUCCGGCUCUCCUUCACGACUGUCGAAACUCCACCAUGCUUUCGAGUGAACUUUAGACCAUCUCCUCGUUCCAAUCUCUUCUAUUAACUCCCCAUUCAAGUUUGUUGUUGUUCACACCAAACCUUUCCCUUCUUCCAUCGUCAGUCUCCUCGGACCUGGAGCGGCUGAGGUUUUGCCCUAUGUGGAUUCGAAUUUGAAGAAGAUUGCUAGCUGAACUCCAAAAUUUAAACCAUUUUUUGUGAAUAAACUCGCUAGAUCGGUAAUUAUAUGUGAUAUGUUCCAAGGACUGGAUGCAAUGUGGAUUAAGCGAAGUCUCUAACGCCCUGCUACUCGAGUUUGUGGAUUACCGCUCCCUUCUCUGUCGACCAUGCAUUGAUACGGGUGGCUCGAUCCUUCUAGCGCCUGCUUUUGUUCUACGCAUCGUUUUGGUUUCGGGAUUUCUCUCAAGUUGGUUUUGAGUUUGUUGUGUUGGCGGUGGUUGUAGACACAAUCGGGUGGCAGAGGAGGAGACUGCAAUGGUUGAGGGAGAGAGGGUGGAGAUUCAGCCGGUAAUGGAGGAGGAGGAGGCUGCGACGUACGCCACACAUAGUAGAUGUUCGGGUGGUGGAGGAGAAGGUUAUUGCAACCACAAAUGGUGAGAUGGUAGAGAUUAAGGUGACGGAGGAUGUUAUUAAUUUUUUAAAAAAUAGUUUUGUAAAUUUUUAUGUGUAAUCAUAAUUAUAUUAUACUGUCC